UACGGAGGAUGCGAGCAUUAUCCGGAUUUAUUGGGUUUAAAGGGUGCGCAGGCGGUCUGUUAAGUCAGCGGUCAAAGCCCGGGGCUCAACCCCGGCCCGCCGUUGAAACUGGCAGUCUCGAGUUGGAGAGAAGUAUGCGGAAUGCGCGGUGUAGCGGUGAAAUGCAUAGAUAUCGCGCAGAACUCCGAUUGCGAAGGCAGCAUGCCGGCUCCACACUGACGCUGAGGCACGAAAGCGUGGGUAUCGAACAGG
rnacentral:rRNA from 1 species